GUGAAGUUAUUCACAAACAAACAUAUACCCCUUUGUUUGACCGUGAAAAUUUCUCCCAUCCCCUUUGUUCGUAACAUGGAAGAGAGGUACAGUGGACCACCCAUCUGCUGGACCUCUCUUU
rnacentral:sRNA from 1 species